rfam:Gossypium raimondii Chr11_contig_30, whole genome shotgun sequence.
AGAAGAAACAUUGUUGAGUGCAGCGUUGAUGAGCUGUUUUUUCGUUUCGAUGAGUUCAUCAACACUUCACUCACUGAUGUUUUUU